rnacentral:rRNA from 1 species
UGCGUAGGCGGCCUGACAAGUCAGAAGUGAAAGGCUACGGCUCAACCGUGGUAAGCUUUUGAAACUGUCAGGCUUGAGUGCAGGAGAGGAGAGCGGAAUUCCUGGUGUAGCGGUGAAAUGCGUAGAUAUCAGGAAGAACACCAGUAGCGAAGGCGGCUCUCUGGACUGAAACUGACGCUGAGGCACGAAAGCGUGGGGAGCGGAACA